GAUGAAGAACGUAGCGAAAUGCGAUAAGUAGUGUGAAUUGCAGAAUUCAGUGAAUCAUCGAAUCUUUGAACGCACAUUGCGCCCCUUGGUAUUCCAUGGGGCAUGCCUGUUCGAGCGUCAUUUGUACCCUCAAGCUUUGCUUGGUGUUGGGUGUUUGUCCCGCGUUGCGCGUGGACUCGCCUUAAAGCGAUUGGCAGCCGGCAUAUUGGCCUUGGAGCGCAGCACAUUUUGCGCUUCUAGUCAUGAAUGUUGGCGUCCAUUAAGCCUAUACAUUUGCUCUUGACCUCGGAUCAGGUAGGGAUACCCGCUGAACUUAAGCAUAUCAAUAAGCGGAGGU
rnacentral:misc_RNA from 1 species